GCUUGUCUCGAAGAUUAAGCCAUGCAAGCCCAGAAUAAGCAUAUUCACGGCGAAUCUGCGAACGGCUCAUUAAAUCAGUCAUAGUUUAUUUGAUAGUCCCUACCACAUGGAUAACCGUGGUAAUUCCCCGGCUAAUACAUGCACUAAAGGGUGGUUUACGCCACUUGUAUUUAUUAGGUAAACCAGGGUAGCGGAGGAUUAGGGUCUGACUCCGGAGAGGGAGCUUUAGAAACGGCCGCCACUUCCAAGGAAGGCAGCAGGCGCGCAAAUUACCCAAUUCCGUUUUGGAGAGGUAGUGAAGACAAAUAACAAUGUGUGGCUCAACGAGUCGCACAAUUGGAAUGCAAGAACAUUAAAUUCUUUCUAGUACAAUUGAAGGGUAAGUCUGGUGCCAGCAGCCGCGGUAAUACCAGCUUCAAUAGCGUAUGUUAAAUUUGCUGCAGUUAAAAAGCUCGUAGUUGGAUUUCAGCGUGAGGACGGGCGGUCCUGGAAACAGAGUACUGCACACAAACCGGCUUCACGCUUCCUUCUGGCAGCGCUAUGUUCACUCUUCAGUGAGUGGGUGUAGUGACUCCGGAUCGGUUACUUUGAACAAAUUAGAGUGUUUAAAGCAGGCGUUUGCCUUGAAUACGUUAGCAUGGAAUAACAAAAUGGGCUUUGACUGUCAUUUUGUUGGUUCAGAUGGUCAAGGAAUGAUUAAUAGGGAUAGUUGGGGGCAUCAAAAUUUUGGAGCUAGAGGUGAAAUUCUUAGAUUUCCGAAAGAUUAACUUCUGCGAAAGCGUUUGCCAAGUAUAUUCUCAUUAAUCAAGAACGAAAGUUAGGGGAUCGAAGACGAUCAGAUACCGUCGUAGUCUUAACCAUAAACGAUGCCGACUAGGGAUCCGGGGAAAUUCGAUUUGAUGACUCCCUGGGCACCUUCCGAGAAAUCAAAGUCUUUGGGUUUUGGGGGGAGUAUGGUCGCAAGGCUGAAACUUAAAGGAAUUGACGGAAGGGCACACCAGGAGUGGAGCCUGCGGCUUAAUUUGACCCAACACGGGAAAAC
rnacentral:rRNA from 1 species